AUUGAACGCUGGCGGCAGGCCUAACACAUGCAAGUCGAAUGGUAACAGGAAACAGCUUGCUGUUUCGCUGACGAGUGGCGGACGGGUGAGUAAUGUCUGGGAAACUGCCUGAUGGAGGGGGAUAACUACUGGAAACGGUAGCUAAUACCGCAUAACGUCGCAAGACCAAAGAGGGGGACCUUCGGGCCUCUUGCCAUCAGAUGUGCCCAGAUGGGAUUAGCUAGUAGGUGGGGUAACGGCUCACCUAGGCGACGAUCCCUAGCUGGUCUGAGAGGAUGACCAGCCACACUGGAACUGCGACACGGUCCAGACUCCUACGGGAGGCAGCAGUGGGGAAUAUUGCACAAUGGGCGCAAGCCUGAUGCAGCCAUGCCGCGUGUAUGAAGAAGGCCUUCGGGUUGUAAAGUACUUUCAGCGGGGAGGAAGGGAGUAAAGUUAAUACCUUUGCUCAUUGACGUUACCCGCAGAAGAAGCACCGGCUAACUCCGUG
rnacentral:rRNA from 1 species